rnacentral:rRNA from 1 species
AGAGUUUGAUUCUGGCUCAGGAUGAACGCUAGCGGCAGGCUUAACACAUGCAAGUCGAGGGGCAGCGUGGAGUAGCAAUACUCUGACGGCGACCGGCGAAAGGGUGAGUAACGCGUGAGCAACAUGCCCGUAGUUGGGGGAUAGUCGAUGGAAACGUCGCGUAAUACCCCGUAACAACAGAGGCCGCAUGACCUUUGUUUAAGAGAUUUAUUGUCUACGGAUUGGCUCGCGUACCAUUAGCUAGUUGGCGGGGUAACGGCCCACCAAGGCGACGAUGGUUAGGGGUUCUGAGAGGAAGGUCCCCCCACAUUGGAACUGAGACACGGUCCAGACUCCUACGGGAGGCAGCAGUGAGGAAUAUUGGUCAAUGGCCGAGAGGCUGAACCAGCCAUGCCGCGUGCGGGAUGACGGCCCUAUGGGUUGUAAACCGCUUUUGUUGGGGAGCAAUAAGGUUCACGUGUGGACUGAUGAGAGUACCCAGCGAAUAAGCAUCGGCUAACUCCGUGCCAGCAGCGGC